rnacentral:rRNA from 1 species
UACAGAGGAUGCAAGCGUUAUCCGGAAUGAUUGGGCGUAAAGCGUCUGUAGGUGGCUUUUUAAGUCCGCCGUCAAAUCCCAGGGCUCAACUCUGGACAGGCGGUGGAAACUACCAAGCUUGAGUACGGUAGGGGCAGAGGGAAUUCCUGGUGUAGCGGUGAAAUGCGUAGAGAUCAGGAAGAACACCGGUGGCGAAAGCGCUCUGCUAGGCCGCAACUGACACUCAUGGACGAAAGCUAGGGGAGCGAAUGGG